CACAUGACAGAGGGGUCAAAGGAGCAAUCCGCAGAAGGAGGGGCUCGCGUCCCAUUAGAUAGUUGGUGAGGUAACGGCUCACCAAGUCAGCGAUGGGUAGCCGAGCUGAGAGGCUGAACGGCCACACUGGAACUGAGACACGGUCCAGACUCCUACGGGAGGCAGCAGUGGGGAAUAUUGGGCAAUGGGGGCAACCCUGACCCAGCAACGCCGCGUGAGUGAAGAAGGCCUUCGGAUUGUAAAGCUCUUCGCAGGGGAAGAAAAAAAUGACGGUACCCUGUGAGGAAGCCCCGGCUAACUACGUGCCAGCAGCCGCGGUAAUACGUAGGGGGCGAGCGUUGUCCGGAAUUACUGGGCGUAAAGGGUGCGUAGGUGGCUAUUUAAGUUGGAUGUGAAAUCCCCGGGCUUAACUCGGGGGGUGCAUUUGAAACUGGCAGACUUGAGUGCAAGAGAGGGAAGUGGAAUUCCUAGUGUAGCGGUGAAAUGCGUAGAUAUUAGGAGGAACACCAGUGGCGAAGGCGACUUCCUGGCUUGUAACUGACACUGAGGCGCGAAAGCGUGGGGAUCAAACAGGAUUAGAUACCCUGGUAGUCCACGCCGUAAACGAUGAGUGCUAGGUGUCGGGGGUAUCGACCCCCUUCGGUGCCACAGCUAACGCAUUAAGCACUCCGCCUGGGGAGUACGGUCGCAAGACUGAAACUCAAAGGAAUUGACGGGGGCCCGCACAAGCGGUGGAGUAUGUGGUUUAAUUCGACGCAACGCGAAGAACCUUACCAAGGCUUGACAUCCUGUGACAGCUAUAGAAAUAUGGUUUCCCUUGGAGGUUAUCAUGGAGACAGGUGGUGCAUGGUUGUCGUCAGCUCGUGUCGUGAGAUGUUGGGUUAAGUCCCGCAACGAGCGCAACCCCUACAGCUAGUUGCCAGCACAUAAGGUGGGAACUCUGGCAGAACUGCCGUUGACAAAACGGAGGAAGGUGGGGAUGACGUCAAAUCAUCAUGCCCCUUAUGUCUUGGGCUACACACGUACUACAAUGGCCUGAACAGAGGGAAGCGAAACUGCGAAGUUAAGCGAACCCCUUAAAACAGGUCCCAGUUCGGAUUGUAGGCUGCAACUCGCCUACAUGAAGUUGGAAUCGCUAGUAAUCGCAGGUCAGCAUACUGCGGUGAAUACGUUCCCGGGCAUUGUACACACCACCCGUCC
rnacentral:rRNA from 1 species